GCCAUGCAUGAUGGUACAUGCAUGUAGUCUGUACUACUUGUGAGGCUGAGGUAGGAGGAUUGCUGGAGUCCAGGAGUUCUUGGCUAUAAUAUGCUAUGCCCACAUGUAGUAUGCUAUGUCUACAAUGUUUGGCAUUAAUAUGGUGACCUCCUGGGAAUGGAGGACCACCAAGUUACCUAAGGAGGGGUGAACUGGGCCAGAUUGCAAAUGGAGCAGAUCAAACUCCCAUGCUGAUCAAGAACACUUUUCAUAAGGCUAGUGCGUCAUUUCCACAAUUUCUU
ensembl:misc_RNA Metazoa_SRP Metazoan signal recognition particle RNA